AAACAUUGUACUUUACUUUACUUGCAAACAAAUGGAAGUACAAUGAGAAGACAAUGGUUUUUAAAGAACAUUGAUACAAUUACUUUUCGUACUGUUUUGCUAGAGGGGAGAUUACAUAGCAACACCCUUUUUAGAAAAAACUUUUCAAAGUUUAUUGUUUCCACUUAAAAGCAGUUAAAAGACAUCAGUCGUUUAAAAGAAAAUUUUUUACGAUGGUGCAUUUGUCUUUUAGGCUGAGCUAAGAUUUUCAGAGAACACGCAGUAAACAUCUGCAUACACACAUUCUAUUUCCAGCUAGUUAGUAAACAGAUGAUUUAUAGCUAUCGUCUCACAAAAUAAAUACUUGUCGCAAGAAGGUAAACAAACUCCGCAUGAGUUGAAAAGACAUACUUCAGAUUGCACUCUUGCUAGUUAAACAAUAACAUACAAAAAAAUUUGUGUUCUUGCAACCAAAAGUAAACAACAACAGCUGUGGUAGGUAAAGUCUAAAUUUCGCAAGAUCGCUAACAUCGUAUUUAAACAAAGAGAAUUGCAUGCAAGAGGAUUUCCUCUUGUGUUUUACAACCAGACCUUCUUGACGUGUAGCAUGGUCAACAUAUGGAAUGCAGGUAAAAGGAAAGUCACUUGUAUAAAUGUUCAUAGUAGUUACAACUAGUAUUUUUGUUAGCACUUACGAUUUCUACAUUGUCAACACGUUAAACAUCACCUUCACUACAGACAAAAAACGUGGUGGUAGGAGAGGUUGGGGGCGUCAGAUUUCUAGAAUUGCUUGUCACUACGGUUAUAGAUUGACAUGUUGGGAAAAGUUUGUACAAUAUUGUCCAAGAUUUUUAGAAGUGACUUAAUGAAUCAGUACGCAUAAGAUUUUGAAUUAAUUGAAUAGAAAAUUUUUUUAUCUGGACACUCUUUUAGCUAGAUCACAAAGUAGAACAACUUCUUACUCAGGACUGACAGCAUUUUUUGAUAUUAAGAAACGUUACAGGACCUGGGAUCAAAGUUUAGGAGAGCCUAUUUAAAAGGUGUCAAACAGCCUUAAGUCUACAUAUCAAAUGAAAAAAAGGGAUUGUUAGAUGAGUAUUGAUUUAUACCUACUGCGCAGCGGAUAUGAUUCGCAUUUAAAUACUUUUAUUCGUAAUAGUAGUAAAAAUCAUGAAAGGAAAAGAGAAGCUUUGAAAAUUAAGACAUCCAAUAAUGAAAAUAUUUAUUCCUAUAUUAAACAUAAUCAAACUCACAGCAAUAUGUAUUAUUAGCCAUGGUGACGUAUGGCUUACGUAUUAUUAGCUAUGACAUUCUUAUACAUAUAUUAUAUACGUAUCGCAUUAAUUUAAUUCUUAUGUUGAUCAAUACAUCACUUACAUGGCAAUUUUAUCACAAGACAGUGUACGAUCCUGGCGGAUGACAUAAAACAGUAGAAAUAUUCCGUAUCACAUAACACAUUCGUGAAACACGUUCCGAUUCACUUGUAUCAUAUCGUAUUCAUUUAUUGCGUGUACGUUCUAAUUCGCUACUCAUUGUGUAAGAGGUUAAACUAAUUUUGCGGCACGUGCGUCUAGUCGAAUAAAGAUUAAUUUAGCAAUGGAAUUAGCGUAUGAAUUUCAAAAUGUUAGCAAUAUGACAGCAUAGUGAACAACAGUGAAUACUGAUGUAACUGACAUAAUUACAAUUUAAAAUUUUGUCUUUUCUUCCUGUUACAUUUUAGGUAAAAUUGGAAAUAUAUUGGGAGCUUAAAAAUUCAUUCGCAAUGUUUCUUAUGAAAAACAAACUUGUUACCUUAUUAUUCUAUUUCAUUUUUUAUUUACUUUAUCAAUAGUAUUUUCGGUGUCCCUUUGAAAUGUGAAAAUGUCACCCUCUUGCGAUGUAAUGACACUUGAGUAAAUGACACAAAAAAGAUUAAAAUAAACAAUGAAUGCGAGAAUACCACAUUGAUUGCCUAAUAAUAAUAAAUAAAUAAGUAAAUAAUGAAUUGCUUACACUUAAUCCAGUCUGGUCAUUAUAAAAUAAGUUUUUAAUCAAAGUUCAUUUACUGAUGUAAAUAUUAUUCCGUUCAGUUAACAACGGACUCGAAACUUCUUUUUAGAAGGAAUAUGAAAACAACAAGUGAGAGAAAGAAAAAAUUGUCUUGACAGAUGGUUUUGACUGGAAAUAAAUAUUUGUUUUAAUAUAGGACACGCUAUGUUCAGUAAGAUUUUAAAAACUCUCUUUUUUACUAGAACAAUACUGGAACAGUUAGAUAGAUUGGAUUUUCAAAGAUAACUGAGUUAAAUUUAUCAUUGUCUCAGACUAACUAUAAUUUGUUGAAAAGAUUUUGUAACUUAAAAAUUGAUAAUGUAAAAUAAGCUUUGUUUGUAAUGGAGCAAUGUAAAGAUACCAAUAUAUAUAUAUAUAUAUUAAUUAUAAAUAUUAGAAAAAAGAAAUAUAUUGAGUGUGUUAUAUGUUACGCAGUAAAUUACAACAUUUUUGCGGUGCGGUGAGUGCACUUGAAUGGAUAUAAUUGUGUUUAAGUGCUCGUUUAAUCUCUAAUUUGUGAGAGCAAUUAAAAAUCGGAAACAAACACUUGAGUUUGACCACGGAUAAUUAGGCAAAUUGACAUUCUCUUAAUAAUUUUGCUAGCAAAACCACGUGUGCACGUUUAAAUAAGAGAUGAUUCAUUUAUAUCGAUGACUUUAUGAGAGACAGGUCGUCGCAAUAGCAACAAAUGCAAGUUCGCUUGUUGCUAUUUCUGUUAAUGCUGCGUUUUUGUUGUUGUUGUUGUUGUUGUUGUUGUUAUUGUUGUUGUUGUCGGCCUAGUUGUCUGAUUCCAGCGUAGUUAUUUUUGUUUAAAAUAUUCUUUUAUUUUUAGUGCACUUCAAAACAAUAAAAUAGUAAAACAAGACCUUCAUUAAAUCCAGUUUAGAAACAUGUUGGUUGGAAUAUUAUCAAAAAUUCUCCUAUUGCUGUCGCUAAGUACGCUUAAAAUAGAGUGUUUUUUGUGGCGCGGGACUACGAAUGCUUCCAAUGCGGAAUUUGAUAAAAUUGACGACCAGAAAAUCAUCUUUAAGAAAAAGGAGUUAAAUACCAAGAAUAAAUAUUUUGUAAGUAACAAGAAGAUUUCCAAAGACCUUUUUAACACAAGCAAAGAUUCUAGUUUAAAAUCUCUUUCGGACUGGGGCAUCUUAAGGCAACGCAGCUUCGAUUUCCCACGUUUAUUGAAACAACAGCCAAUAAGAACAAAGAAAUUCAAGAAGUAUAGUAAAAAAUGGUGGAAGAACAAGAUGAAAAGAAAAAUGGAGCGCUUAAAAAGACAAAAUAAACUCAAGAACUUCACCUAUUCACAAUUUUUAGUUUGGAUGAAAACAAAGCGACGCCACUUAUAAUAAAAUUAGACGCGAACAUAUUUUCGCACGUACGAUCGGGGCAUAAGUUGAUGUGUAAUUCCGUCAAACAAAACAACGUUGAGAUAUCUAAAAAUGGAAAUAACAAAUCCACAGAGUGGUUAACAUUUGCAUGAAUUUAUUUCAGAUGAAUUAACGACGCAACGUUUUUGCUCUACGGGUAAGAGCAAAUAGUUUAAUUUUAAUGCUGAUUAAACCUAAGAUACUCUUCAUCGCAGGUUAUAAAAGAACAAAUAAAUUACAAAGUAUUAGGAGGGCGUCUCAUCAACAUUCUUUAUCAACAAAACUUUUUAAAUGCCGGCUUUGCAUCGGUCUUUACAUGCCGACUGUGACCCGCCAUGUUUAGAGAUUCAUUCACAUGUUUACAUAGCAUAGACGAUAAAGAACAUACAUAUCCAGUCACAUAUUUGUCUUCUUUGCAGUUCUUAAGAGUUAAGUUGUUUGUUUGUUAACCAUGAUCUGGUUUUAAAAAUGGCUUGUGUGAAUAUACUUUAGGGAAGUUUUUUUUUAAAUAAAUAAUAUCUAUUCCACGAAGAUUGGUUAACAAUCUAUUUUAGACCUUUUUUAAAAAAAAUAUAAAGCUUGGUAUCCACCUUUUGCGUCCUUCAGUUUUCACUUUUGUACUUUUUUGUUUUAGCGCUGUUUUUUAUUAAUGUUUGGAUAUGAAGUUGUACAAGACAGAAAAAUAUAUAUGAGAAAAUUUAUUUAUUACUGGUUAUGUAAAUUAUAUAUUCGCAACCUCUUCUCCAGGGCCGUUUUUAACGUUUCGAACGUUGCUCUUUUUGUUCACCUAUUCCAAAUGCCAGGAACUCUGGGGAUGAGGUUGAUCUAUUUGUUGUUUAAGAAAACAUUAUGUAAAGUUGAGACGCUUAAAAAGAUAACUUGACUAAAAAUCUA